rnacentral:rRNA from 1 species
CGUGUAGGCGGUCGGUCAAGUCCGGUGUGAAAGCCCGGGGCUCAGCUCCGGAAGUGCAUCGGAAACUAGCCGACUUGAGCGCGAUAGAGGAGGGUGGAAUUCCUGGUGUAGCGGUGAAAUGCGUAGAUAUCAGGAGGAACACCGGCGGCGAAGGCGGCCCUCUGGAUCGUUGCUGACGCUGAGACGCGAAAGCGUGGGGAGCAAACAGGAUUAGAUACCCUGGUAGUCCACGCUGUAAACGAUGGGUACUAGGUGUUCGGGGUGUUGACCCCCUGAGUGCCGACGCUAACGCAUUAAGUACCCCGCCUGGGGACUACGGCCGCAAGGCUAAA